GACGAACGCUGGCGGCGUGCUUAACACAUGCAAGUCGAGCGGUAAGGCCCUUUCGGGGGUACACGAGCGGCGAACGGGUGAGUAACACGUGGGUGACCUGCCCUCAGCUCUGGGAUAAGCCUGGGAAACCGGGUCUAAUACUGGAUAUGACUCCAUGACGCAUGUUGGUGGGGUGGAAAGCCUUGUGCGGCUGAGGAUGGGCCCGCGGCCUAUCAGCUUGUUGGUGGGGUGAGGCCUACCAAGGCGACGACGGGUAGCCGGCCUGAGACGGGCGACCGGCCGACACGUGGGACUGAGACACGGCCCAGACUCCGUACGGGAGGCAGCAGGUGGGGAAUCUUGG
rnacentral:rRNA from 1 species